rnacentral:rRNA from 1 species
UGCCUACGGGAGGCAGCAGUGGGGAAUAUUGCACAAUGGGGGGAACCCUGAUGCAGCGACGCCGCGUGAGUGAAGAAGUAUUUCGGUAUGUAAAGCUCUAUCAGCAGGGAAGAAAAUGACGGUACCUGACUAAGAAGCCCCGGCUAACUACGUGCCAGCAGCCGCGGUAAUACGUAGGGGGCAAGCGUUAUCCGGAUUUACUGGGUGUAAAGGGAGCGUAGGCCGGCUUUUAAGUCAGCUGUGAAAGUCCGCGGCUCAACCGUGGAAUUGCAGUUGAAACUGGAGGCCUUGAGUGCACACAGGGA